rnacentral:rRNA from 1 species
GACGAACGCUGGCGGCGUGCCUAAUACAUGCAAGUCGAGCGGAUCUCGGAAGGAGCUUGCUCUUGACGAGAUUAGCGGCGGACGGGUGAGUAACACGUAGGCAACCUGCCCUUCAGACCGGGAUAACAUUCGGAAACGGAUGCUAAGACCGGAUAGGCAAGGAGGAGGCAUCUUCUCUUUGGGAAACACGGUGCAAGCUGUGGCUGAGGGAUGGGCCUGCGGCGCAUUAGCUAGUUGGCGGGGUAACGGCCCACCAAGGCGACGAUGCGUAGCCGACCUGAGAGGGUGAACGGCCACACUGGGACUGAGACACGGCCCAGACUCCUACGGGGGGCAGCAGUAGGGAAUCUUCCACAAUGGGCGCAAGCCUGAUGGAGCAACGCCGCGUGAGUGAGGAAGGCCUUCGGGUCGUAAAGCUCUGUUGCCAGGGAAGAAUAAGGAUGAGGUAACUGCUCAUCCGAUGACGGUACCUGAGAAGAAAGCCCCGGCUAACUACGUGCCAGCAGCCGCGGUAAUACGUAGGGGGCGAGCGUUGUCCGGAAUUAUUGGGCGUAAAGCGCGCGCAGGCGGUUUCUUAAGUCUGGUGUUUAAGUGCGGGGCUCAACCCCGUGUCGCAUUGGAAACUGGGGAACUGGAGUGCAGAAGAUUAGAGCGGAAUUCCACGUGUAGCGGUGAAAUGCUUAGAGAUGUGGAGGAACACCAGUGGCGAAGGCGGCUCUCUGGUCUGUAACUGACACUAAGGCGCGAAAGCGUGGGGAGCAAACUGGAUUAUAUACCCUGUCUACCCACACCGUAUACGAUCAGUGCUAGGUGUCUGGUGGGUCCACCCCUCGGUGCCGAAGUCAACUCAUUAAGCACUCCGCCUGGGGAGUACGGUCGCAAGACUGUAACUCAAAGGACUUGACCGGGGACCCGCACAAGCAUUGAACUAUCUGGUUCAAUUCAAAGCACCCCAUCAGAACCUUGCCAGGUCUUGAAAUUCCUCCUACCGCUGCAGAGAUGCCGCUUUCAUUCGGGACACAGGAGACCCGUGGUGCACGGCAUGUCGUCGUCUCAUGUCUUGAGAUUAUCGGCCUUAAAUCCCGCCACUCGUGCCACUUUUGAAUUCAUUGCCCUGUGAACAAAGUCGGGCUCCCUGGAUAGACCUCCGGGUGAACAACCAAUACCAUCGCGGUGAAGACCACUAAUCAUCUUGCUUUUUAUGAGCUGUGCUACCCACUUACUUUUACUGGUCUGUACUACUGUCUACCAACGACCUAUACCGGACCAAUCCUAUCAAAUCUGGUUUCAAAUUCGACUGCAAUCUUCCCCUCCCCUGUCUGUAUACCCAAAUUCCU